AUGCUGGCCUGGGGCCUCAACUUGCUCUUCCUGCCAAUCAUACAUUUCAGGACUUCGCGGAGAUCCCACAUAUCUUGUAUAGGACAACAGCACAGCCCAGGUUCAACAUCUAGCUGGAACCAUGGGGUAAAAUUCAGGAAAACACAAGAAAAAUGUGACAGAAAGCCACUAGCAGGCCUGGGCUCUACAAAGGGCUCACCUGUUCAUUCUUCCCUGACAGCCUUGCAGGAGACAUGUGUAUGGCCAGCUCCAACCCUGCCACCUGAAGACCACUCACACAGAGGGUUCCCUGUGCAGGAGGGACGGCUGCUGCUGGAGUCUCUCAAUGGCUUUGCUCUGGUGGUGAGUGCAGAAGGGAUGAUCUUUUAUGCAUCGGCAACAAUUGUGGACUAUCUGGGCUUCCAUCAGUUGACAACAAUGCUAUUUGCCUCUGAGGCUGCUGAGAAUUUGUAGCAAAAGUCCUAGGCACCUAGAAAAACAGUGUUCCUGCCAUAUGAAGAUGCACCAACAUUUUUUUGUCUACUCUCAGUGGCCCAUGAUACUUCAGGUUGGCCAGGUACAAUCUCCAUGACCUGAUGAUGCAGAACUUUUCAUCUUCUGGAGAUGAGCCUUGCGGAAACCUUACGUAAGAGCACUGAGUCAGACUUUCCUCCCUGAGAUGACAACAGCCCCCAGAGAAGACUGAAGUCUGCUUGAGCAAUUUCAUUUCCUGAAGUAGACUCUACCAACUGUGACUUUGUUUGCAGCAUGGAGAUACUGUGCAUUUGCCAGACUUCAGGUCCCUCCGAGUAGAGUCCCAGUACCCUUGAUAGUGCAGAAUUUGGGCAUGGAGGCAGAUAAGGACAUGGCAUGGUGGCAUGAUUCUUAUAUUAAAAUAGUCCCCAAUAUAGUCUCUUUUGCUUGUGUGUGUAGGUUUAAGGCUAGAAAGAGACACUUGCCACCUUCUACAUGUUCAGAAUGGCUUUAAUUUAAUCCUUGUAUGUGAGUAGGCUAUAAACACCUAGACCUUCUCCCUUUAUCACAAAGGGAUGGUUUCACUACAGAGUUGGGUGUUGAGGACAAAGGCACUGAAGUACAGAGUGGAUUAUAUUCAAGGUUAGAAUUUACUUGCUGGAAUUUUACCUAUUAGAGCUCCAUUAUUUCUCUUUAACUGUUAGAAGUGUAAAUCAGUUUUUCCUUCAUUAUGGAAAAAUGUUUCCAUUGACUUUAUGCAAAAUAUUUCACAAAAAUAUUAGAAUAGCUUGUGACCUAGGUAGCACUUUGUAUCAAAUGCUUUACAAAAGUCAAGAGCCAAUUCCUUCCUGAGGCUGCCAGAGUAUACCAUCCAGUGUCUUCAGAUCAGCACAGCUGUAAAAUUUAGGCCUAUGAUGCUUAUUCAUUCAGAAAACUGCCUCUUCCCUCAUAGUAACCUGUAGCAGCUGUCACCAAGUGAACCAGAACAUCACAGCCCAAGGGUCUGAGAAAGGACAACUACCUAUGCCCAUUUAGCAGAUGCAUACACCCUUUGCCCAAGAAGGCAAAAAUGACAGUUGCCAGACAUGUAGCUUGUAAAAGAUCGGCUUGCCUUUGUGUCAGACUGUGUGGAGAGUGGCUUGAAGCUGAAAUUAAAAGUACUUCUCUUGGUGACAGCUGUGUCUAGUUUUUGUGUCAUCUUCGCCCCUUCUCACAUUUCUUCCCAUCAUUUCUCACAGGUGGGACAAUUUCAAUGACAUCCACAUUUUCCUACAUGGAAUUUCAACUAGGAUUCUACUUUUU
ensembl:lincRNA